AUCGCUUCUCGGCCUUUUGGCUAAGAUCAAGUGUAGUAUCUGUUCUUAUCAGUUUAAAUGUGAUGCAUACAUAUAGAUAACAACAAUUUUUUAAAAAGGCCAUGAGUUUGAAAGAGAGUCAGGGAAG
rnacentral:snRNA from 1 species